rnacentral:rRNA from 1 species
UACGAAGGGGGCUAGCGUUGCUCGGAAUCACUGGGCGUAAAAGGGUGCGUGGGCGGGUCUUUAAGUCAGGGGUGAAAUCCUGGAGCUCAACUCCAGAACUGCCUUUGAUACUGAAGAUCUUGAGUUCGGGAGAGGUGAGUGGAACUGCGAGUGUAGAGGUGAAAUUCGUAGAUAUUCGCAAGAACACCAGUGGCGAAGGCGGCUCACUGGCCCGAUACUGACGGCUGAGGCACGAAAGCGUGGGGAGCAAACAGGGAGUUAGAUACCC